CUUUAAAAAGAUUUUAUUUUAAAUUGUGAGUAUAUGGAAUGCUGGAGAGAUGGCUCAGGGGUUAAGAGAACACUGUAACUCCAAUUCCUGGGGAUCCUACACCCUCUUCUGACUUCCACAGAGGUGGCACAUACAUAAAAACACUCGUACACAUGAAAUAAAUCGAAAAUUUACAAAUUAAAAUUAUGAUUAUGUGGGCAGUGGGGUGUGUACACAUGAAUGCAGGUGCUCUCGGAGGCCAGAGGGGGCAUCGGGUCCCUUGAAGUGGAGUUACAAGCAGUUUUGAGCUGCCAGUUAUGAGUGCCAGGAACUUACCUCAGGUCCUCUGUAAGAGCAACAAAUGCUCUUAACUACUGAGCCAGCUCUCCAACCCCUAAACACCUCCUAAGUGGGACAAAAAUCACCUCAGGCAAGCUGGUCAUAUCCCUACUGAAGGCCAGGUGAGCAAUGACUAUUAUGGGAUGCUGGGAGCCUAGAGUGAUUGACACUGGCCCUUAGGGACCCCUUUCUGGGUCUCCUCAGGGAAGGUGGCCCAGGAGGCACAGUGUUGAACUGUCUGUGUCCAGAGCUCAAAAGCAGCACCCAGCUCCAGUGUGGACUUGGCAUUCAUGCCCACACAUUCUACAAGAUUCCAGACAUAACCACUCAAAUCAUCCACCUGGGAUUCUGUCCUGUAUCCUCAAGUGAUGGCAAUGCUUUGCGACUGUUUCUCAGACUAGCAAUGCCCAGGUACUUCACAGGCCUGCGGCAAGCAAUACAUUAGCUCGCUGAAUGAGCCAGACACAGUGGCUCAGGCCUGUGAAGCCAGCACCCCGUGGAGGCCAGAAGGUCAGGAGUUGGAAGUCAUCCUUGGUUAUACAGUGAGUUCCAGGUCCAUCCGUACUACAAGAAACCCUGUCUAACCAAGCAACUGUCCCCACUUCCCCCAAGAAAACCUAAUUUGUUGAUGACUGAUGUACAACAUCUGCCUAGAACUGGGGGCGGUUAGCAAAAAAGGAUAUGCUCCUGUGGCAGGCUUUGGAUCGCCAUCCCUACCCAAGCAGGCUGCUUCUAGGAGAGCAACUUUGUCCAGUUCCCACAGGCCUUUCUACAGAGAACCAGGGAUGAGUCUGGUUUGAGAAUUCGAUUGUUCUUGAACCCCGAACCCGACCACCAACGUCUCUCUUAACCUCCUAACCUGAACACUUCAGGACUACAGGCCUGAUCUGAACCCUGACAUGGGGAAGGCCACCAGGGGAGCGCCCCGGCCUGGCUCCUGGCCUGGCUGGAGGCUCGAACCCAGACCAAAGGAGGCUGGCGGCGGCCGUUGCCUGGAGUAACUGAUGCUGGUGCCUCCCCAGACCACUUGGGAGUCUCCCGCCUGCUCAGAGCCCUGUAGCCUCAGUUUCCCCACCUACGAAAGGAGGCCAGAAGAGGCCACCUCCAGACCGGUUUGAGAGUUCCAUCUACCAAAGGCUAGCACACCCCAGUAGCCCAGCCCGCUGCCCCAAGGAGGAGCAGGGUGUAAGUGUCCUCCGUGGUUGUACCCAGCAACACAGGGCAGUCAGAGCAACGUGGGUACUCCCGGAAGUGGGUGUGGGGCAUAGGCCAAAGGAGUUGCCAUGGAAGUGACUGGAGAGGACACUUGUGGAAGCCGGAGCGGGCAGCACCUGCUGCGGGUGGCGUCCGGAGGGGGCCUGGGCAUGAGUCACUGCCCAGCAAUGAGGCUGAGUCACAGGGCGGGGUCCCGGCGCCUCCCCCACCAGCCGCUCCCACAAAGGACCUUUUGAGAAGAGCUCCGCACCCCCGCCCAGCCCCCAGGCUGUCUCGGGUCUUAGUUGUGGGCACAGACACUUCUGGGCUGCCCCCAGGAGCCUGGCCUGGGCCUGGGUGUCUGCCACAUCUGUGAAAAGUCACCAUCCAGGGGCAUCCCCGGAGAGGGGGCUUCCUGGCCGCCUGAGUCACCGUCAGGACAGCAGAGGAUCAUUUUCGCUGGGCCCACGCACAGAGCAGGCUAAUUGAGUCAGGCUGUCUAAUGUCGGCAGGAAAAGCGGGUGCUGGAGGCAUCUCCCGUCUUCAGGACCGCUCAAGCCUGAGGGGCCUUCUCUCCUUGAGACCUUGGAGCCUUCUCAGGCAGGACACAGACAACCAACCAUACCAGGCCUGAGGAUACCAAAAAGUCUCCACAUGGGUACAAGGUUUCAGAAGGAGCCAGUAGCCAGCGAUGUUUAAUCCCAGCACUCGGGAGGCAGAGGCAGGCAGAUCUCUGGCCAACCUGAUCCACAGAGUGAGUUCUAGGACAGCCAGAACUACACCGAGAAACCCAGUUUAAAAAAAAAAAAAUGCCAGUUGCGGGGGCACAUAUAGUCCCAGCACUCAGACAAAUGGCUCUCUGCGUGUUUGGAGCCAAACUGGUCUACAUAACGGGUUCCAGGCCAGCCAGGAUACAGAAUGAGACCCUGGCUGGCUCAAAAGGUCAGCGAAAGCAGGGUGUGGGCGUGUGCGGGAUGCCUGGAGAGGUGGCUCAGCAGUCCUCCAGAGGACCUGGGCGCGAUUCCCAGCACCCACAUGGCUGCUCACACAUGGUAACUCCAGUUCCAGAGAAUCAGACAUUCUCUUAGACAUGCAUACAAGCAAAACACCCAUACUUAUAAAUAAAUAAAUGUUUUAAAGGAGAUUUAAUAAAGCAUCAAAAAGG